GUGCUCGCUUCAGCAGCACAUACACUAAAAUUGGAACGACACAGAGAAGAUUAGCAUGGCCCCUGUGCAAGGAUGACAUGUAAAUGAUUAAUAUUUUCUAUGCUGUA